rnacentral:rRNA from 1 species
GGGUUGUGAGGUUAAGCGAACAAGCGUACACGGUGGAUGCCCUGGCAGUCAGAGGCGAUGAAGGACGUGCUAAUCUGCGAAAAGCGCCGGUAAGGUGAUAUGAACCGUUAUAACCGGCGAUGUCCGAAUGGGGAAACCCGGUGCACUUCGGUGCAUCAUCGUUAGCUGAAUACAUAGGCUAACGAAGCGAACCGGGGGAACUGAAACAUCUAAGUACCCCGAGGAAAAGAAAUCAACCGAGAUUCCCCCAGUAGCGGCGAGCGAACGGGGAACAGCCCAGAGCCUGAAUCAGCUUGUGUGUCAGUGGAACGGUCUGGAAAGGCCGGCGAUACAGGGUGACAGCCCCGUACACGAAGGCACACAGGCUGUGAGCUCGAUGAGUAGGGCGGGACACGUGAUAUCCUGUCUGAAGAUGGGGGGACCAUCCUCCAAGGCUAAAUACUCCUGACUGACCGAUAGUGAACCAGUACCGUGAGGGAAAGGCGAAAAGAACCCCGGCGAGGGGAGUGAAACAGAACCUGAAACCGUGUACGUACAAGCAGUGGGAGCCUUCGUAAGAGGGUGACUGCGUACCUUUUGUAUAAUGGGUCAGCGACUUAUAUUCUGUAGCAAGGUUAACCGUAUAGGGGAGCCGAAGGGAAACCGAGUCUUAAUUGGGCGUUAAGUUGCAGGGUAUAGACCCGAAACCCGGUGAUCUAGCCAUGGGCAGGUUGAAGGUUGGGUAACACUAACUGGAGGACCGAACCGACUAAUGUUGAAAAAUUAGCGGAUGACCUGUGGCUGGGGGUGAAAGGCCAAUCAAACCGGGAGAUAGCUGGUUCUCCCCGAAAGCUAUUUAGGUAGCGCCUCGUGAACUCAUCUCCGGGGGUAGAGCACUGUUUCGGCUAGGGGGCCAUCCCGGCUUACCAACCCGAUGCAAACUGCGAAUACCGGAGAAUGUUAUCACGGGAGACACACGGCGGGUGCUAACGUCCGUCGUGAAGAGGGAAACAACCCAGACCGCCAGCUAAGGUCCCAAAGUCAUGGUUAAGUGGGAAACGAUGUGGGAAGGCCCAGACAGCCAGGAUGUUGGCUUAGAAGCAGCCAUCAUUUAAAGAAAGCGUAAUAGCUCACUGGUCGAGUCGGCCUGCGCGGAAGAUGUAACGGGGCUAAACCAUGCACCGAAGCUGCGGCAGCGACACGUAUGUGUUGUUGGGUAGGGGAGCGUUCUGUAAGCCUGUGAAGGUGUGCUGUGAGGCAUGCUGGAGGUAUCAGAAGUGCGAAUGCUGACAUAAGUAACGAUAAAGCGGGUGAAAAGCCCGCUCGCCGGAAGACCAAGGGUUCCUGUCCAACGUUAAUCGGGGCAGGGUGAGUCGACCCCUAAGGCGAGGCCGAAAGGCGUAGUCGAUGGGAAACAGGUUAAUAUUCCUGUACUUGGUGUUACUGCGAAGGGGGGACGGAGAAGGCUAUGUCGGCCGGGCGACGGUUGUCCCGGUUUAAGCGUGUAGGCUGACUUUCCAGGCAAAUCCGGAAGGUUAAGGCUGAGGCGUGAUGACGAGGCACCACGGUGCUGAAGUGACAAAUGCCCUGCUUCCAGGAAAAGCCUCUAAGCAUCAGGUAACAUCAAAUCGUACCCCAAACCGACACAGGUGGUCAGGUAGAGAAUACCAAGGCGCUUGAGAGAACUCGGGUGAAGGAACUAGGCAAAAUGGUGCCGUAACUUCGGGAGAAGGCACGCUGACAUGUAGGUGAAGCCCCUGCGGGUGGAGCUGAAGUCAGUCGAAGAUACCAGCUGGCUGCAACUGUUUAUUAAAAACACAGCACUGUGCAAACACGAAAGUGGACGUAUACGGUGUGACGCCUGCCCGGUGCCGGAAGGUUAAUUGAUGGGGUUAUCGCAAGAGAAGCUCCUGAUCGAAGCCCCGGUAAACGGCGGCCGUAACUAUAACGGUCCUAAGGUAGCGAAAUUCCUUGUCGGGUAAGUUCCGACCUGCACGAAUGGCGUAAUGAUGGCCAGGCUGUCUCCACCCGAGACUCAGUGAAAUUGAACUCGCUGUGAAGAUGCAGUGUACCCGCGGCAAGACGGAAAGACCCCGUGAACCUUUACUACAGCUUGACACUGAACAUUGAGCCUUGAUGUGUAGGAUAGGUGGGAGGCUUUGAAGCGUGGACGCCAGUCUGCGUGGAGCCGACCUUGAAAUACCACCCUUUAAUGUUUGAUGUUCUAACCUGGCGCCGUGAUCCGGCGUGGGGACAGUGUCUGGUGGGUAGUUUGACUGGGGCGGUCUCCUCCCAAAGUGUAACGGAGGAGCACGAAGGUCAGCUAAUCCUGGUCGGACAUCAGGAGGUUAGUGCAAUGGCAUAAGCUGGCUUGACUGCGAGAGUGACGGCUCGAGCAGGUGCGAAAGCAGGUCAUAGUGAUCCGGUGGUUCUGUAUGGAAGGGCCAUCGCUCAACGGAUAAAAGGUACUCCGGGGAUAACAGGCUGAUACCGCCCAAGAGUUCAUAUCGACGGCGGUGUUUGGCACCUCGAUGUCGGCUCAUCACAUCCUGGGGCUGAAGUAGGUCCCAAGGGUAUGGCUGUUCGCCAUUUAAAGUGGUACGCGAGCUGGGUUUAGAACGUCGUGAGACAGUUCGGUCCCUAUCUGCCGUGGGCGCUGGAGAAUUGAGGGGGGCUGCUCCCAGUACGAGAGGACCGGAGUGGACGCAUCACUGGUGUUCGGGUUGUCAUGCCAAUGGCACUGCCCGGUAGCUAAAUGCGGAAGAGAUAAGUGCUGAAAGCAUCUAAGCACGAAACUUGCCCCGAGAUGAGUUCUCCCUGAGACUGUAAGUCUCCUGAAGGAACGUUGAAGACGACGACGUUGAUAGGCCGGGUGUGUAAGCGCAGCGAUGCGUUGAGCUAACCGGUACUAAUGAACCGUGAGGCUUAACCUUACAACGCCAAAGAAGU